rnacentral:rRNA from 1 species
UCUUGACCUCGGAUCAGGUAGGGAUACCCGCUGAACUUAAGCAUAUCAAUAAGCGGAG